rnacentral:rRNA from 1 species
UACGAAGGGGGCUAGCGUUGCUCGGAAUCACUGGGCGUAAAGGGCGCGUAGGCGGAUCUUUAAGUCGGGGGUGAAAGCCCGGGGCUCAACCCUGGAAUUGCCUUCGAUACUGGAGAUCUUGAGACCGGAAGAGGUAAGUGGAACUGCGAGUGUAGAGGUGAAAUUCGUAGAUAUUCGCAAGAACACCAGUGGCGAAGGCGGCUUACUGGUCCGGUUCUGACGCUGAGGCGCGAAAGCGUGGGGAGCAAACAGG